UGGGUUCGACCUGAGCUCGGGCAAGGCUACCCGCUGAACUUAG
rnacentral:rRNA from 1 species